rnacentral:misc_RNA from 1 species
GAUGAAGAACGUAGCGAAAUGCGAUAAGUAAUGUGAAUUGCAGAAUUCAGUGAAUCAUCGAAUCUUUGAACGCACAUUGCGCCCGCCAGUAUUCUGGCGGGCAUGCCUGUUCGAGCGUCAUUUCAACCAUCAAGCCCUGCUUGUGUUGGGGUCCUGCGGCUGCCCGCAGGCCCUGAAAACCAGUGGCGGGCUCGCUAGUCACACCGAGCGCAGUAAUACAUCUCGCCUUGGUCGUGCGGCGGGUUCUUGCCGUUAAACACCCCCCUUUCCAAAGGUUGACCUCGGAUCAGGUAGGAAUACCCGCUGAACUUAAGCAUAUCAAUAAGCGGAGGA